UUGACCAAGAAUAUUCAAAACUGUCAAGGGCAUUGAUAAUCUAGAAAAUCUGGGAAACACAGCACAGAGGAGCCUAAGGAAACACGAUGAUAAGCGUCAGGUGGCGUCCUGGAUGGGAUUCUGGAGCACAAGACGAGCAUUGGAGAAAAGCUAAGGCCAUCUGAGUAAAGUGUUUGUUUUAGGUGCCAGAAAAGAAGAAUUCACGCAUUCUGUUUGGAAUUGCGGCACACACACCCCUUCAGUGACCAGUCCUGUUCAUCCCACAGAAUCAUCUUUAGAAAACAGUAUGUUUUCUAGGCACCUGCCCCUUAGCCUUGGACAAAUCCAGGAGAUUCAUAUUAUGGCUCUGACACUUAGCACCUGUGGGAUUCUCUGAGCCUUGCUUUUCCUCCCUGGAAGGGACAUCUGGGAGGGACUGCUCCUGUCCUGCGACUGCUGAGAGGACCACACCCAGCUCUGUCUCAGGUAAAGUAAGGACUGCUGUUCAGGCAGCCUCACUACAUCACAU